rnacentral:rRNA from 1 species
UGAUCAUGGCUCAGGACGAACGCUGGCGGUGUGCUUCACACAUGCAAGUCGAACGAGGUAGCAAUAUCUAGUGGCGGACGGGUGAGUAACGCGUGGGAAUCUGCCCUGGGGUGGGGGAUAACUAGUCGAAAGAUUAGCUAAUACCGCAUAUGCCGUGAGGUAAAAGUAGUAAUACGCCCGAGGAUGAGCCUGCGUCCGAUUAGCUUGUUGGUGGGGUAAAAGCCUACCAAGGCUACGAUCGGUAGCUGGUCUGAGAGGAUGAUCAGCCACAAUGGGACUGAGACACGGCCCAUACUCCUACGGGAGGCAGCAGUGGGGAAUUUUACGCAAUGGGGGAAACCCUGACGUAGCGACACCGCGUGAGCGAAGAAGCCCUUUGGGGUGUAAAGCUCUGUCAGCAGGAACGAAAAUAAAUAUGACGGUACCUGCAGAGGAAGCAUCGGCUAACUACGUGCCAGCAGCCGCGGUAAGACGUAGGAUGCGAGCGUUGUCCGGAUUCAUUGGGCGUAAAGAGUUCGUAGGCGGUUUGUUAAGUCUGAUGUUAAAGGCACGGGCCCAACCCGGGUACUGCAUUGGAUACUGGCAGACUGGAGUGCAGUAGAGGCGAGUGGAAUUCCCAGUGUAGCGGUGAAAUGCGUAGAUAUUGGGAAGAACACCGGUGGCGCAGGCGACUCGCUGGGCUGUAACUGACGCUGAGGAACGAAAGCUAGGGGAGCAAAUGGGAUUAGAUACCCCAGUAGUCCUAGCUGUAAACGAUGGAUACUAGGCGUUGCAGUAUCGACCCCUGCAGUGCCGCAGUUAACGCGAUAAGUAUCCCGCCUGAGUAGUACGGCCGCAAGGUUGAAACUCAAAGGAAUUGACGG